AUUGAACGCUGGCGGCAGGCCUAACACAUGCAAGUCGAGCGAGCGGCGGACGGGUGAGUAAUGUAUGGGGACUGCCCGAUAGAGGGGGAUAACUACUGGAAACGGUGGCUAAUACCGCAUACUAUCGGAUAACCCAUAUGGGAUUAGCUAGUAGGUGGGGUAAAGGCUCACCUAGGCGACGAUCCCUAGCUGGUCUGAGAGGAUGAACAGCCACACGGGGACGUAGACACGGCCCAGACUUCUACGGAGGCAGCAGUGGGGAAUAUUGCACAAUGGGCGCAAGCCUGAUGCAGCCAUGCCGCGUGUAUGAAGAAGGCCUUAGGGGUGUAAAGUACUUUCAGCGGGGAGGCGUUACCCGCAGAAGAAGCACCGGCUAACUCCGUGCCAGCAGCCGCGGUAAUAC
rnacentral:rRNA from 1 species